rnacentral:rRNA from 1 species
GACGAACGCUGGCGGCGCGCUUAACACAUGCAAGUCGAGCGAGAACCAGCCCUUCGGGGCUGGGGACAGCGGCGAACGGGUGAGUAACACGUGGGUAAUCUGCCCUCGGCACCGGGAUAGCCCGGGGAAACCCGGAUUAAUACCGGAUGGCCUCUCGAGCUCUCGGGCUCGUGAGAAAAGGGAGCUUCGGCCUCGGGCAGGGGAGGAGCCCGCGGCGGAUUAGCUUGUUGGUGGGGUAACGGCCCACCAAGGCGACGAUCCGUAGCUGGUCUGAGAGGACGAUCAGCCACACUGGGACUGAGACACGGCCCAGACUCCUACGGGAGGCAGCAGUGGGGAAUCUUGCGCAAUGGGCGAAAGCCUGACGCAGCGACGCCGCGUGAGGGAAGAAGGCCUUCGGGUUGUAAACCUCUUUCAGGAGGGACGAAGCCACUCGGGUUAAUAGCCCAGAGGGUGACGGUACCUCCAGAAGAAGCCCCGGCUAACUACGUGCCAGCAGCCGCCGUAAGAC